CUAAUUUUUUGAGGUCCUGCUCCUGGCGGG
rnacentral:piRNA from 1 species